rnacentral:rRNA from 1 species
AGUUUAUAUCUUGAAUUGAAGGGCUCAUUAAAUCANUUAUAAUCUACUUGAUUGUAAAAUCUACAUGGAUAACUGNAGUAAUUCUAGAGCUAAUACAUGCAAAAAAUCCUGACUGUUAUGGAGGAUGUAUUUAUUANGUACAAAAUCAAUGCUGGCACUUGUGUCAGGUUNAUUGAUGAUUCAUAAUAACUAAACGAAGCGCACGACCUUGAGUUGGCGCUGAUACNAACGAGUUUCUGCCCUAUCAACUUUCGAUGGUAGUAUAGAGGACUACCAUGGUUUCAACGGGNAACGGGGAAUANUUAUAUUUGUUAUUAUAAUCUUCGGAUUUUAAUAGCAAAUAUAAGUCGGCGACGAUUCAUUCGAAUUUCUGCCCCAUCAACUCUCGAUGGUAGGAUAGAGGCCUACCAUGGUCGCAACGGGUAACGGGGAAUA